CCACCACCACCGCCAGCAGCAGCAGCACUGCCGGAGCUCACAGCCUUAAUGGUGGCACACGCGCGGGGAAACGGUGGAUCAAUGCCAGCGCGCGUCAGUGGCCCAGAAGACGCAGAUGGACCCAGCCACGCUGGCCUCCUACUGGCAGAAGAUGAGCGGUGCUGACGGAUGAGCGCGCAUGACAUCACCGCGGCCGCUGGAACAUCGCUCUAUAAUGGUGCGGGGCUUCAUCCCUCCACGGCCGCGCUUCCGUCGCGACCGAGAUACGACGCCCACAAGGGCAAGCGUAAUGAGGAGGGCAUCGCGUGCACGCCUCCUCGGCACGUCCGUUCCUUUCACUGUGACGACUGCGCCAAAAGAAAUAAUGCCCAGGGCCCCCCCCUCCCCCCCCCACUGCCAACCGAAAUAUGGCACUGCUGUGAGACGGAUGGCACCAUCAUGUUGCGAUGUCCCUUAAAGCAAGGCGAGUCCGAAUUGGGAUCAUUAGUCGCGUCCAUAUGAAGAAAAAAUAUAAGCAUCCAUUAAAAUAAUUCUGAAAGAAGCGUAAUGGAGUGGGCGUUAUAAACAAGAGUUGAAUGGUGCAGUCGGGUGAGAUGUGUACAUAUUAUGACAUCACAGAUCGUGGGACACAUCAUAUGAUCAUUCUCAUGGCCACUGUGGGGAUCCGGACAGCCCUACAAUUUGUUUUUAUGCCGCUAAGAGACAUCCACAACAUUUUGGACAAAAAAUUCUGGCAUUUUUGAGACCCGUGUUUCUCUCCCUUGAGCAAGGCGACCCAAAUGCCGAUUAUUCCAAAGACAGAACAUUUAAAUAAACAGCAACGCAUGGAUGGUUGAGGCUCGGUAUGGAAUCAUUAGCCAGUACUAUAGUUGUAUGGAAAGCUGGACAAUUGCAAACACCCUACAAAGCAACGUAGAAGCAACGGAAAUGUGGUUUUAGGACAAGAUGAGUAAAAUUGCAUGUAUAUUCUUGUUUCCCUUCUAUAUGACUUUACCGAAAGAACCUAGAAUAUGAAUCCCUGCAGUGACGAAAGCUUUAAGUCAAAACUUGCAUGUAUUUCAGAUAGGAGGGUGCACAUCCAGAAUAUUCAUGAGAAUAAUGAGAGAAAGGCAAUGUUAGAUUUCUUGGAUAUGGGAAGAGAAGGCGAGACCGAAUAUAAAUGUGAUCUUGACCGGGAAAAUGAUCGGUGCAAGACAGCGAAUUAAGCAACAUAACGACAUUUAACAAUUGGAUGCGACUGGGAGGAGUAUCUCAGUGAUUCAAUAGCAUGGACAGGGAUGACUGGAAGGCAAGGCAAUGAUCGCAGACAUCUUUCAGAAAGGACAUGGCACACAGACCGGGGGAGAGUUGUACUGUAUUGAUGUCAUGUAUCUAUUAGAGGUUCUUUGUGUUAGAUUGCAUGAAUGUAAAUGUGUAGUUUAAACCCUCCGCCACCCGACACAACCAAUUCGUAAGGUUAUUAAUUGGCUGUGUCGGUUACUAAUUGGCUGUGUCGGGUGGCGGCGGGUUUCACGACACAUAUAUUUUUCCGCGAUUUAACCCACCAAAAAAAACCUCUACUGUGGAAGACAUUGGCUCGCAAAAGCCUGCGUGUUAAACAGAUUUCAUGUAAUAUACUGCAGUGAACUCCUCACAUCCGUGAUGAGGUGGGGGGGGGGGGAGGUGGGGGAGCAACAUCACGGACACCGUCUGUCAUCUCCCCGUUAACCACGGGGACCAUUCCCUCGCCGGUCACCCUCAACAUCCACAGUUGCGGCUGCAACCCUGGUGCAUUAUGGGUAAUGCUCCACACACAACACGUGCGCCCAGAAUAUGGAGACAAAUGGGAGGUAUGUUUAUGUAUUUAUGCUUAACAUUUUCGUGCCUUCGUGCGUUGGAUUAAAGGAGUUCGAGGUGAUCAUCAACAAUCUGGAGAUCGCAUCGAAGCUGCGGAAAUGUUGAGCGAAGCGUGCGCGCUUUGAAUCGUAGACGAGGGGGUUGGGCGAUGACGGGAAAAAUGUGAAAUGCUUCGCUCGAGACGGGAAGAAAUGUGUCUUCAAACGUGAACACUCGUGAACACGCGCAUCUCGAAAUACACCAGCCAGCCUGGAGUCCGGGAGUUUCCCUUUCUCUCAGCGAGCAAAACAAAUCAUGCUUUUUAUUGCUCCUAUUUCAAUUUAAACAACCGCCGUAUGGUCACUGAAAAAGCAACAAUUCACUGCCGUACAUUGUAGCAGGCAAAGGUGCAGCCCUGCAAUUGCUUGCUCAUACCGCUGCUGGUGGAAGGAUCCGCACUAAAAAGGAGCUCUGGUGAACCCCUCGAGGGUAUUUGGCCUACUCUUCCACGCUGGCCAGACGUCUUAGAAGACGUUUGAGUACCCACACUUUACCCCACCACGUGUGUCCUGCCGAUCUAAUCUCAAAAAAAGCGUCCAUGUCCUUUCCCAAAGACGUCGGGGGAUGAACGGCCUUCGAUUUACCUCCGUGAUAUUACCCAAGACGUUUGCAUUAGAUAAUCCCAGUUGCGUCCAAUAGUUCAAAUGUCUUUUUGUACUUGACGACCAACCGUGGUGCACCCACUUCUACUGCUGGGUGGGAUGGAGGCGGAAGGAUUUCAUGAACUUCCAUCGGUUUCAACCGCAACGCCGGGAGGUGGAAUCGAACCGGCGGCCCCUGGAUCGCAAGGCCAGCGCGCUCAUCGCUGCACCACUGCGGAAGCGUCCACUUGCUGUGUCGACUCAAAGUAACGCUCUCCCAUUCAUCAUUCGCAUGGCCUUACGAUGGAACAAAAAUAUAUAUCUCAUUGGGCCGACAUUUCAGACAAUGACCGUCUCGUGUUCUCAGAUGCAAGAGUGUGGACGCGACUUCAAGAAAGUGACGUCACAUCCUGUGAAUGAAUCAUUUUCAGAUCGAUCUGAAACGUUUCAUUCUUUUGGAUCAUCUGAAAUUUCAAAUCUCGGAACGAUUGCCAAGACUUUUCAAAUCAGCAACACGUCCCUGAUCUCAUGUUUGCAUGCCACAACCUGUGGGGGUCUGGGGCGAGUUCAACCUACCGGGGACGGCGGAGGAGCCCUCAGCGUGACCCGAACGGAUUCACGGGGCGACUCGGUGGACACUUGACUCCCCGUUACACUGUCCUGAUCUGCACGCACACACAAACAAAAUAAAGAUUCCCCCAUAUAGCCUUAA